rnacentral:tRNA from 1 species
GAGGGUAUAGCUCAAGUGGUAGAGCACAUGCUUAACAUGCAUGAGGUCCUGGGUUCAAUCCCCCAUACCUCCU